AUCACAGUCAAUAUUACCGAGUGAGAAGCAGUCCAUGACCAAACAUGCAAUAAUAAAGGGACAGCAAAAGGCUUUGAUGUAGAUGGCAUAUACACUCUUAGACAAAAGGAUUCCAAAAGAGUUCUUUACUAAAGGAUAGUGUCACGCCCUGACCUUAGAGAGCCUUUUAUUUCUCUAUUUGGUUAGGUCGGGGUGUGAUUUGGGUGGGCAUUCUAGUUGUUCUAUUUCUUUUUUGGCCGGGUAUAGCUCCCAAUCAGAGGCAGCUGUCUAUCGUUGUCUCUGAUUGGGGAUAAUACUUAGGCAGCCUUUUUUCUACCUGUAGUUUGUGGGAUCUUGUUUGUGUGUAGUUGCUUUCUGCACUGCAUGUAGCUUUACAUUCGUUUUUUGUAAUUUUUUUUUUUUUUUCGGUAUUAUUUUAAUAAAAGUAAAAUGUACGCCUACCACGCUGGACCUUGGUCCAAUCCAUCUCUAAACAAUCGUGACAGAUAGGGUUCUGCCGAUAAACCUUUUCAUCUGAAGAGCCCUUUUUGGAAGACGAGGGUUCUUUGUAAGGCAAAGGGUUCUACCUAAAACCUUUUACCAUCCUUCUAAGAAAGGGUUCUAUGGUUCUAUAUAAAAUCUUUUUACCAUCCUUCUAAAGAAAGGGUUCUACCUAAAACCUUUUUACCAUCCUUUUCAGAAAGGGUUCUACCUAAAAACCUUUCUCCCAUCCUGUUCAGAAAGGGUUCUACCUAAAACCUUUUUACCAUCCUUCUAAGAAAGGGUUCUUUGAUGGUUCUUUGGAAGUCAAGAAGGGUUCUAGAUGAAUAAGCUUUUUUAUAGUAUCUUUUUAUUUCUAUUAAAUAGUGAAAUAAGACUUGAAAUGUCUAUAUUUUUAACUUUUGUGAGUGCAAUAUUUAAAGUUAAUUUCAAAUUGUUUUUUGUUGAUGUUGUUUUGCGUCUACUCACUUUUGUUUAUUGUUAAUUUAACUUAAUGUGGCUGUUUAAAUAAAGUCCCAUUGAAUUGAAUAGUGCCUGAGCAUUACUGUUUACCUAAAUAUCUAUAUCUAUAUGGAAAUUGUACCCAUAUGGGAAUAUUUGUACAUGUACUGCAAAUUAAAGGUUUUUAAAAUCUUUUGCAAAUGUUUU
ensembl:lncRNA